AUCGUGGGUCUUAAAAAAGAACAACGGUUAACUGAAUUAAAAGUUAACCAAUCAUCGCUGGACAAGAACCUACAGCAAAAAAAGAAAAAUAUCGCGAUGUUGCUAGACGUAUACAAAAUAUUGUAUCUACAUAUGACGAACGUGAUCUGGAUGAGUACUUAAUUGGAAUCGCUCAAAAUGUAUAGCUACAAAAUCAAUUAAAACAACGAUGCAAUGUCAAUAUAUGUUCAGAAUCAGUAAAAAAAAAAUAUUUGGCAUCUAUAACAACAAGUUGCUUGAAACCCAAAAAUCAUUACUGUCCAGACUUCUAGAGGUACUUAUAUCAUAUUCAGACAUUUCUAAAAGAUCACGAUGAACAUUACACAAAUAGAAUACA